rnacentral:rRNA from 1 species
AUUGAACGCUGGCGGCAUGCUUUACACAUGCAAGUCGAACGGUAACAGGUCUUCGGAUGCUGACGAGUGGCGAACGGGUGAGUAAUGCAUCGGAACGUGCCCAGUCGUGGGGGAUAACGCAGCGAAAGCUGCGCUAAUACCGCAUACGAUCUAUGGAUGAAAGCGGGGGACCGUAAGGCCUCGCGCGAUUGGAGCGGCCGGUGUCAGAUUAGGGAGUUGGUGGGGUAAAGGCCCACCAAGCCAACGAUCUGUAGCUGGUCUGAGAGGACGACCAGCCACACUGGGACUGAGACACGGCCCAGACUCCUACGGGAGGCAGCAGUGGGGAAUUUUGGACAAUGGGCGCAAGCCUGAUCCAGCAAUGCCGCGUGCAGGAAGAAGGCCUUCGGGUUGUAAACUGCUUUUGUACGGAACGAAACGGCUCUCUCUAAUACAGAGGGCUAAUGACGGUACCGUAAGAAUAAGCACCGGCUAACUACGUGCCAGCCGCCGCAGUAA